GACGAACGCUGGCGGCGUGGAUUAGGCAUGCAAGUCGAACGGUAUCAUCCUUUCGGGGGUGAGAGAGUGGCGAACUGGUGAGUAACACGUAGGUUAUCUACCCUCAAGACGGGGACAACCCAGGGAAACUUGGGCUAAUACCGGAUGUGAGCAACUUUUAGUUGUUUGAAAGGUGGCGUAAGCUGUCGCUUGGGGAUGAGCCUGCGUCCUAUUAGUUAGUUGGUGAGGUAACGGCUCACCUAGGCAAUGAUAGGUAGGCGGCCUUAACGGGUGGUCGCCCACACUGGGAUUGAGAUACGGCCCAGACUCCUACGGGAGGCAGCAGUCGAGAAUAGUCUACAAUGGUCGGAAGACUGAUAGUGCGACGCCGCGUGAACGAUGAAUCCCUUCGGGGUGUAAAGUUCUUUUAUAUGUGAGCAGUGCUUCUUAUAUUAACAGUAUGGGGAGAGAGAUAUUAGCAUAUGAAUAAGCAACGGCUAACUCCGUGCCAGCAGCCGGUAAAACG
rnacentral:rRNA from 1 species